UUAAGUAAAUGGGCGAGAGUGUCAAAACUGAGAUUCAAGCAUGGUGACAAACUUCUUGAUCCGUAUCCUUAUGUUUGUAUUAUGUAUGUGGAAUGCAGUUCAUUUCAGCAAAGUGUUUUCAUCCGAAAAGAAGCAAAUUUGGAUGCUUGUAACUCUGUCAAGAAUAGAAGUGAAAUUAUAGAAGACACUGAAACAAAAGCAACAAGGAGGCAGAGGAGGGUGGAGGACCCAGCAGAGCUGUCACAGCGAGAGCCAUGUGUGGAGAGGUCAGUUUACUAGGAAAUAGUUAAUAUUUCCUCAGAAGUCUAUGCUUACAGUUUUAAUACAUUAUGGGCCUCCCUUUAAUUUCAUUGCUAUUUAAUGCGCUGUGCUGUUUGGUUUCUAUUUUCCCCCCAGAGUUAGCACUUUUCAGCAAUGUUGUUUGCAGCAGGAGUGAGAUAGUAAGAAGCUUUAUGUAUCCAUGUGAGAGGAGUAAGCAGUCAUAAGGUUCCUUUUUUUAUACCUGGGGUUGCCUACCUUUGUCAUGGGUAGUUUUUCAGAGAGAAGGGGCUGCUAUCCACAUCCUCCUGUGUAGGUGGAUGUGGCUGUAUAGAGACAAGGCUCUGCCCACAGCAGUGUACCAGCCAACAGAACUGAACCAACGCUAAAAGGAAAAUCAUUCUUCUCCAGGGAUAAAGGCUGGUAGCAAGGGGCGAACUAGCAAUCAUGUUGUGUCUCUGAGUUCCAGUCUAAUUGGUCUCCUGCAGCAGUGCAACUGCC